AAUCUACCUAUCUCUGCGGAACAACACAUAGAAAUGUGUGCUAAUACCGCAUACGCCCUCCGGGGGAAAGAUUUAUCGGAGAUAGAUGAGCCCGCGUUUGAUUAGCUAGUUGGUGAGGUAAUGGCUCACCAAGGCGACGAUCAAUAGCUGGUCUGAGAGGAUGAUCAGCCACACUGGGACUGAGACACGGCCCAGACUCCUACGGGAGGCAGCAGUGGGGAAUAUUGGACAAUGGGCGCAAGCCUGAUCCAGCCAUGCCGCGUGAGUGAUGAAGGCCCUAGGGUUGUAAAGCUCUUUCAACGGUGAAGAUAAUGACGGUAACCGUAGAAGAAGCCCCGGCUAACUUCGUGCCAGCAGCCGCGGUAAUACGAAGGGGGCUAGCGU
rnacentral:rRNA from 1 species